rnacentral:pre_miRNA from 13 species
CUGGGGGGUGUCAAUCAAACCGUUACCAUUACUUGUAUUAAGUACUGGUAAGGGUUAUAUUGCUGCCUCCGAU